GAAGGCAAGCCAGUCCCAGUCAUUGGUCAACAGUCCCAGUUUCCUAUUUUCUGUUUGGGUAAAUAGUAAUAGGUUUGAGACCUUGCCUAUAGGUUUUUUUAUCCCAAGUGCACAAAAAGAACUGAAAUGAUUUGAAACCAGCCUGACGGGAAGACACAGGUUCUCAUGUUUAUUCACCUAGGUGGGAAAUAGGGAGCUCUUUGGAGAUGGGAAUACCAGACCAGGCACAAAGCAGCGGCAAAGGGGGACUCAGUCUUUAUGGGCUGCGAUGACGUGAUGUACAAGCACGCUAGAAGCAUUUGUCAUAGGACCGUGCUCGUUCUGUUGUGCAAAGGGAGGAUUCUGACAGCAUUGUCGUAGGACCGUGCUCAUUCUGUCGUCCGCUGUACUAGUGCUCGGAGUAUCCAGUGGCUCUAGGACUUCUCCUAACUUCCGCCUUGAACCUUCAGUAGGGAGGAAGAAGACUCAGAGGCUUUCCUUCAGGGAGAAACGGGCUCCUUCAGCAAGGGAGAUGAAGUUCUUGUUCCUGACGCUUUGAAGAGCGAAUGAAGGAAGGAGCGAGACGAGAAUCGAUGAGGUUCAUCUCUCGCUCGACUCAGAUAAUGAUGAAGCUCGAGCUCAUCUCUUGUCAAGCUAUCUCCGAUGCUAAUGCUCUGCUCAGCUCUGAUACUUCAAGAAUAGUACUUGAUUUAGGAACUUGACUUCCUUCCUUGCUAGUUGGCCUUGCUGCUUGGCUUGCUUGCUUGGCUGCUUUCUCCGGUGCCAGCUCUGAAACCAGAGGUCUCUGUACCGGCUUGCUCGCCUUCCUGCC
rnacentral:lncRNA from 1 species